rnacentral:rRNA from 1 species
AUUGAACGCUGGCGGCAGGCCUAACACAUGCAAGUCGAACGGUAACAGGAAGAAGCUUGCUUCUUUGCUGUCGAGUGGCGGACGGGUGAGUAAUGUCUGGGAAACUGCCUGAUGGAGGGGGAUAACUACUGGAAACGGUAGCUAAUACCGCAUAACGUCGCAAGACCAAAGAGGGGGACCUUCUGGCCUCUUGCCAUCGGAUGUGCCCAGAUGGGAUUAGCUAGUAGGUGGGGUAACGGCUCACCUAGGCGACGAUCCCUAGCUGGUCUGAGAGGAUGACCAGCCACACUGGAACUGAGACACGGUCCAGACUCCUACGGGAGGCAGCAGUGGGGAAUAUUGCACAAUGGGCGCAAGCCUGAUGCAGCCAUGCCGCGUGUAUGAAGAAGGCCUUCGGGUUGUAAAGUACUUUCAGCGGGGAGGAAGGGAGUAAAGUUAAUACCUUUGCUCAUUGACGUUACCCGCAGAAGAAGCACCGGCUAACUCCGUG